rnacentral:misc_RNA from 1 species
UGGUUCUGGCAUCGAUGAAGAACGCAGCGAAAUGCGAUAAGUAAUGCGAAUUGCAGAAUCCGUGAGUCAUCGAAUUUUUGAACGCACAUUGCGCCCUUUGGUAUUCCGAAGGGCAUGCCUGUUCGAGCGUCAUUAUCACCUCUCAAGCUCGGCUUGCUGUUGAACUAGGUUGCACUGUCGGUGCGACCGGUUUCAAAGAUAACGACGGCGUCUGUAGCAACCCCGGUACAUUGAGCUUUCCAAGCACGUAUUAGGUGGUCGUCACAGGCCCGGUCUCCUUUAUUUUACUUCUAAGGUUGACCUCGGAUCAGGUAGGGAUACCCGCUGA